rnacentral:lncRNA from 1 species
AUACUAGGGUUUCCAACAUUCAGCGUCUUCUCCAAACUUCCUGUCAUUCUUCUCCAUCCUUCCUCUCUCAAUCUCAAACAUCUGAUAAAAGGUAAAUCGAAUAAGUUCUUUUGUUGAUCCAACAAAAUAACGGAUCAUGAUCACUCUUCAUAUCACCAACUAGCCAAGUGCACAUGACACACGCGACACUUAUGUUUCACAUAAAUCGCUCUCGUGUUCUUCUCUGCCGACCUAGGGUUUCUCUUCCUCUCUCUUCUCUGAUUCUUUUUCUUCUUCCUUCAUUCAAUCCGACAUCAAUCUUUCUAUAGCAGAUCCUUACCCACACCAUCAUUUCAAUCUCCCUAUCAAUACAGUCAAAGAUCGAAUUGAUCUCCAUCAAAUCGUUCAGAUUCAUCUAUAGCUCACCGAAAUCACAAUUUUGGAUGAUGAUGUUGCCGUUUAAAAUCGACGUCUCCGGUUGAAGGGUCAGAACAGAAUAAAAAAUCAUUUUCAUGAUUCCCAAAAUU